GGGAAAUGUUGAUCGAUGCAGCAGGAUUACAAUGCUUUCAACAGCAAACGAAGACUGCACUUGCCGAAUUGCAUGGGACGAUUUCUCUACGCAGAAAUGGCUCAAGUGCGCCGGAAAGGCGCGGUAAUUCGUGGGGUGUUCCUGACGUCAUCAGUGCUGCGGUAUGGCGGGAAAUUGGAAACGGGCCGGCCCUUCUGCCUCGUCCGGCGAAACCAGCGCCACCUAGUCCCUACGUACCCCGUGUCCAGAAAGAGCCACGAAGCACGGGACCGGCACACAUCAAACUCAAUUAGCGCAGUACGCCGCCGCGGAGGUGAGCCGCACCACGUCACCCUCGGCGUAGGGGCCGGCCAUGCCCUUGAUCGCCACGCCCCUGGCGUCCUUGAUGGCCGGAGGACAUGCCUGCGCUGUUGAAGAAUACAAGCCACAAA